GUCUCUUUCUUCUCCACUGUCUCUUCUUUUUCACUGCGCCUCCCCACCACCACCAUCUUUAUUUCACAGUGUGUUGCUAGUGCUCCCUAGAGGUUGAAGAUAAUUAGAUCGAGUUUUUGAAGUUGAUAGUUAUUUAAAGUUUGAUUUUGAAAUCAGUUGAAGGUGGAUCUGUGAGAUAGAGAUGCAAUCGAGAUGGUAAUAAAGUGAAUCUGAGAAGAAAAGAAGGGAAAUGAAGGAGGGUUGUUGCUGCUACAGCCUACAGAAUGACUUUCUAUAGAGUCAAGACCUUAAAUCUCUUCUUUAACCUCUUACUAAUGUUCUCCCUAGAGGUCAAAAACUCAUCUUCAAAGGGAAAGUUUUGGAGGACACCAUGAAAUUGAAAUCACAAAUCGAUCUAAGCGAUCUAAGCUUAUGCAUGGCUUCUCAGGGUUUUUACAUCAAGGGGUAAUGCUAAAGGAUUAAUGGAUGGUAAGGUUGAGGCAGCAAGUUUUGUUGGAAUAGGGUAAUGGUUUGGCCGUUUGAAGGUUGUUGUGAAGGUUUUAUAGGAAUCUGAGGAAGAGGAGUAUAGAUUUGUUGAAGAAUGGAUAGUUGUGUCGUAGUAAUUUGGUUUUUGGGUUGGAUGAAUCAUUAAGAUGAACCCAUAAAAUGUUGGACUCAAACAACUACAGCCGACUAAGAUCUGACAGUAACAACUAUUAUACAUUGUUGCUCUUUUUUGACUAAAAGAUCUCGCUGUUGUAGUUCGAUUUUAGCAGUUGGAGCAGGACCUUUACUCAGCUGGUUUGAUUUGAAUGAGAUGACACACUCAUAGAUUCAGUGUGCCCCACAAUCAGCAUUUUCUAUUUCCCUUCAUCCAUUGGGUGUAAUGGCAGUCGGAGGCUUUGGAGAUCUCGUGGAUGUCAUAUCUCAGUUCAGAAGUCAUUUGUGCACGUUUUGUUGUAGAGGUCACUGAACUCCUUGCUUUCGUAUGCACUCACAGACUAGGGUGAUCAUUGUAAAAGUAGUGAUUAUGACGAGUUAGAGCAAUUGAUCUCUCCUACUUCCACCCACCGCGACGGCACAAAAAGAUAAGUGCUUCACAUCUUCUAUUUUUCCUAUUUGAAAGUUAAUAAUGUUGUUUAACACUCUGAUCUUGUACACUGUAUCAGGCGAGAGUUGGUAUGGGCUGAACUGGGCUAGUUGCUCCUCUAUAAAAAUGAUUAAACUAGUGUUUUGACCCCCUUACACUGCUGUUGUACAUAAUCUAGGGUAGUAUUCUACGAUUCUGCUUAUGAAUCUCUACAAGACGAUAACCAAAGAAAGGCAAAUGGCCUUGCUGUAUGAUUCACGGCACCUAUGCAUAUGUUUCAGCUGCUCAAGAUCCUAACAUGUAUUCUAACCAAGGCUAUGGGGGUAUUGGAUAUGGUAACUAUCAAUAGCACCAACAUCAGAUAGUCAGACUCAAUGUGGUGGGCAGAUGAAAGCUAUAUUUUUCAAGUAAAGAAGAGGUUGGUGUGUGAUAACAUAAGUGGUAAAGGGAAGCUAUUCCAUUUCAUGCCUCAAAUCUAGUUGAUGCUCAUCCAAUUUUAGUCUCAUACAAGUUCAAAGUCUAAUCCUUUACAUGCACAUCAAACAUCCACCCGUUGUGUCGUUGCUUCACAACCACCUGCCUUCCGCCUUAGAGUGAGAGGAAGAGAACGACGUUCUUUGUCGUAUGUGAACCAGAGACACAAAACAUGGAUGCUCUACUUGACAAUUCACACACAUAGAUAUCCACGUUGGGAAAUCUGAGUUAGCUCUUUCAAUAUUAGCAGUGCAAUUAAACAUGUGAGUUAAUUAAACCAAGUAGCUCGGCCAACCAAUGAGCCGGGGCUUCCAAUCGCCGGGAGAGGGGCUGGGUCAGGAUAUCUUGAUCCAGACAUCAUCUGACCACCUUGCUGUUUCCUUUUCUUGGAACUAUUUUGUUCCGCCGACUGCUCAGUACGACCCAUGGCUGCACCCUGAUAAACAAGAUCGACGAUGUAAUGAAUCAUUCUCCAGUGGAACAAUUCGAAGAUGAAAACUGAAGUGUACAAUAUCUUACCUGAACACUUGAACUGGAAAAAGAAUGUCGGGGACUCAACGCCUCACCAAUCUGUAAACCUACAGCAAAAAAAAAUAAAUGAGAGAAGUUUUCAAUGAUAAA